rfam:TPA: Bos taurus chromosome 11, whole genome shotgun sequence.
UCCCUGGUGAUCCAGUGGUUAGGAUUCUGCGCUUACACUGCAGAGGGCCCAGGUUCAAUCCCUGGUCAGGGAA